rnacentral:rRNA from 1 species
CCUACGGGAGGCUGCAGUGGGGAAUAUUGGACAAUGGGCGAAAGCCUGAUCCAGCCAUGCCGCUUGUGUGAAGAAGGCCUUCGGGUUGUAAAGCACUUUCAGUGGGGAAGAAAGCCUUGGGGCUAAUACCCUCGAGGAAGGACAUCACCCACAGAAGAAGCACCGGCUAACUCCGUGCCAGCAGCCGCGGUAAUACGGAGGGUGCGAGCGUUAAUCGGAAUUACUGGGCGUAAAGCGCGCGUAGGCGGUCUGAUAAGCCGGUUGUGAAAGCCCCGGGCUCAACCUGGGAACGGCAUCCGGAACUGUCAGGCUAGAGUGCAGGAGAGGAAGGUAGAAUUCCCGGUGUAGCGGUGAAAUGCGUAGAGAUCGGGAGGAAUACCAGUGGCGAAGGCGGCCUUCUGGACUGACACUGACGCUGAGGUGCGAAAGCGUGGGUAGCAAACAGGAUUAGAUACCCCAGUAGUC